UUAGUAGCAGCUUGUGUAGUUGAUGCACAUAGUUUUGUAUUUCCAGUUGCCUAUGGUGUGCUGGAGACAGAGUCUGAGGAGAGCUGGACUUGGUUUUUGCAUAAUCUCCGCCGGGCUAUUGCACAUCCCAAUGGGUUGGUCAUUCAUACAGAUGCCUGCAAAGGUUUAGAAGUGACCGUGAACAAUGUGUUCCCUGGAGUAGAGCAUAGGGAAUGCAUGCGUCACCUUGCUGCAAAUUUCAUGAAGAAAUUCAAAGGAAAGGUGUAUACCGACAAUUUAUGGCCAGCAUCUUUGACAUGCAGUGUGAAGAAGCACAACUACCACUUGAGGCAGUUAUACAUGAAUUCCAAAGUGAAAGAAUACUUGGAAACACACCACUCCAAGUUAUGGGAAUAG
rnacentral:rRNA from 1 species